CCCUAGCCCCGAUAGUAGCGGCAUCCUUUUUCUUUUUUUGCAAAAAAAGGAAAAGAUAUAGCGGAUAGCGGGAAAUAGC
rnacentral:sRNA from 1 species